GUUCGUCGUCGUCGGAAUAUCGAUUCGUGUGAAAAAGGCCUACAGCUUAUGAUCUAUGCGGUGCUCUAAAGGGAGCUAUGGGUCCCGGUAGAAGCUAUGUGUGAUCGAUGCUGUUCUAGAUUCGUACGGGUGCGAUUCAUCCAACGCCAAUAUGCCCAGUGAGAGUGGGGUUGCUUUAAAUAAUUUCGUCUAUGUAGGGAAAGAUCACUGUCGCCGUUGCCGUCGGUCGGAUAGUAGUUCCUAGUCGUCGUGAUCGUGUUCUUUUUUAGCAUUUUCAUUGCUUAAUUAUAGUUGUAUGACGGGAGGUGCUGCUGCUCUCCUAUAAACCUGACUUCUUUCGCGGGAACUUCCUGCACGGCCCAUCGGCUGCUCUCUUCUGGUUCCAGAUUCGUUAAUAGUUUACGGCCUUUCAACUUCAAACGACGACCAUGGAAUGAAUGAGAAUAUUUUAACGUAUUUCCAUCGAGUGCUCGCCAUUAGUUGGUCAGUUUUGAAACGGUUAUAGUUUAUGAGUUUGAGAAGAUCCCACAGUGUGUCGUGUGUCAGUCCGUUUUCCUAGAGAAGAUAUUCAAUUAAGCCUAUUAGUGAAGUGAGGAAUGAAGAGCAAACGGAGUGCGAAAAGUAUGCGUGUUUGGAAUGGUUAUUAAAUCACUUAAUUAAGAUAGAAGAGUCUCGUGCUUAGCUAGAGAUUGUGCGAUCAUUCCAAGAAGCCCCUGAAGAUCUCGAUCCAACUAUAUACAGUGUGUUGUGACCGUUGGUGUAAAAUAAACCAGUUUGGUCAUCAAGAGAGGCAGCAUCCAGCCACCCGGCUGCGCACCCUGAGAGAGCGGAAUGUCGCAGAACAAACGAGAAGAAAUUUAUCAUUAAAAGUUCAGAAAAGGAAAUUGAAUACGUCCCUAAAAAUAAGACAGGAAUUUUGUCAUUUUUCUGGCCUGGCCACGAAGCACUACUGUUACAAUGUAGUGUCCGGAUGGUGUCCAGCAGCAGCAGCAGCACAUACAGUGAUUGGAAGUCCCACGAGACGGUCCCUUCGAAAAUCCGGAGAACGAGGAUAAAACGUAUCCUUCCGAACGUGGGUGAUUCAAUGAAUGGAAGUAGCGGCAACAAGUAGGUACCAUGACGAUUCAGUCUAACCUGGACUCGCCUCAGCAGCACCACCGGGUCUUGGAUCGCUACCAUCAGCAUCAUGAUCCGGCCUACAACAUUACCAGUGCCGAGGCGGACGACUACAACAGCGAUAAUAGCAUUGCGGUGCUGCAGCAUCAUCAUCGCUACAUGCCAUCUAGUUCCAGCUCUUGUGAUAACACCAAACACCAUCCGAUGCAGGGUUCCAGCGUGCCGGGAUCCUGCGACGAGAAUACACCUAGUGUGUUAGAUAUUAAUUUAGAUAGUAAAAAAAUUGCCUUAUCCAAUCCAAAUAAUUCGAGACUGAAUUCUCCCGCUCGGUUCGAGAACGAGAGGAAAUAUACGAAUCAUAUAGAGAUCUACAGUGAUAACACGAACAAACUGGAGGAGGAAAUUUCUGAGGACGAUCGGGGGCCACCGCUGCCGCCACGACCUGCCCCAAGAACCAGAACCCUGCAGCGAGCUGAAAUUGCGCCCACGACCCCUGGAGUACGGAAAUACGUCAUAUGGUGCCUGAUAUGUGGCGGAAUAUCUUGCCUGUUGGGGAUUCUGUUUCUGGGGAUCUACUUCCUCCUUCGGUCCUAUACCAGCACGGUUGGAUACUUCGAAACGGUACCAACGUUCGUUCCUGCCACAUUGCUAAUGGUAACCGGGAUCUGUAUUAUGAGCCUUGCCAGGCGGAGAAAUCGCUAUAGUUAUUUGAUCAAACUGUCAGGUGCAUGUGGGCUGGCAUCGGCUCUAACCUGUGCCCUCGUAACAGUGACCACCACGGUGCUGCACAUGAGCCGCCUCCAGGUGCUACGGGAAUGUGAAUACACGCAAAAGACACGAACCUGCACGUGCUACUCGGUAACAGCCGAGAAGCAAGCCGAAGGCCUCGACGACAACGUAAGAUUUGUGUUCGAUUCCACCUCCGACUGUGGGGUCGUUCACGGGGCGUUGUACUCUUGCUUGCGGGCGGUCUUUGGCCUAUCGGUGGCCGGGGUCCUGGUAGCAGUUUUCAGCUGCAUGUUGGUUUAUCAAUUGCUUAGUCAUGAACGCAAGAAAAUGUACUGGGAGCAGCUAGAGCUGAGGUGCCGCUCGCUAUAUUCCGGACAGCAAGGACCUUCAGUGCUUCCAUCUGGGCCUAUGUUGGCGUCCGGGCGGAGCGGGAACUGCCGAUGUUGCGAACAGUGUCAUGCCCAUCGGAAUGUGAUGCCAUCGGCUUAUCCCUGGGAAGGCGAUCAGCGAUUUUGGGCUCCUGGACAAGCGGGAAACUUUUAUUCUCCCAACCCUGGAGGGGAAGAAAAUCCCGGUGGAAAUAGACUGAAUCAAAAUGGCAGAAGGAUGCCCGGGUGGAGUUGGCCAAGGAUGCCCUGGCAGCGAAAUGAUUCUCAACGCAUGUCUCCACAUAGUCCGGAUUCCCAGUAUGGAUUCUCAAACAGAACUGGCAACGUUCCAGAUCCUGUGUCCAUCGCAGCCAGUCAGCCAAGGUACAAUGUGAUUGAGCAGCAGUAUGGCAUCUGGGGGCCACCACCCCCCUACAGUGAUCCGAACAGUCCAGCCCGAAGAGGCCGUUAUCAGUACAUCCAUCCAGCACAGUGUCAACCAAUGAUUGAAUCAAAUGCUCCACCAACCAACAUAGCCAUACUGGAAUGCCACCAACACCCGAUGGCAACCGAAAACCAUUCCAUCCAACAGUUCAACAAUGCCACCCAACAAAAUGUAUUCCGCAAUCCGGGUAAACGACAAACGUUUAAACCAGCGAAGGACAACUACGAAAACACUCCGUCGGAUAGUGAUGGGCCAAGGGAUCGUUUCUCCAAUACGCUUCCCUUGAGGAAGACCAAGAAACGUGUAGAGGCUGGCGCGAAGAGUAUCGGACCGAAUCAACCUGCUACGCGAGUCAACGUCCAGAAUGUGUUCAACUCAAACUCAGCCAAUGGUCAACAGAAUUCAGUUGAGACGUCAGAGAAUGAGUACAACGAACCGUCGUUACCGAGCAAUGAACCCGGCUGCAGUAGUCAACCAGCGCCGGUCCAUGCCAAAACACGAAGGGUUAAAGCCGGUGUCGAAAAUACCGGUUUCCAAACUGUAGAAGCCCUAGAGGCGGAUGGUAUGAAUGGCAAGAUCCCGGAACCAACCGAGUCGGAAGUUUAUUUUGCCGAUGUGAGUAGUUGUUGCAAUAUGUCCGUCAAGAAUGACAACUACUAUGAAGAUGCGAACCAAAGACGUAAGAAUAUGAAGGAUAAGAACAAGCAGGUUCAUGAGCAUGAACAGUUUAGUAAGGAUCAAGCCGAUGAUUACAUCGCUCAGAGAUUCGGCAAGAGAGAACCAUCCGUUCGCAGCAGGUUACCCUUCCCACAGAUCAUCCCGGAAACGUACGAGAAACCAAUAGUUAUGCCCCGUCCUUCGUUAAUGCACAAGGAUAUCUCGCGCCAGAGUAUGUGUUCUGUUGAGUCGGGUGAGAAGACUGACUAUACCGAUCUGUCCCCUGCGACUCCAAGUACAAAUUUUCCCUCGGUAACAUAUCCCCAGCAGGACUCCACCAAUAACUUCAACGCGUCAACACAACCCGGUAGCAGUAGCGGUGGUGGACCUACGACGUCUAUGGGCACUGUAGCAGACUUUACUGCAGAGCCCAACAGUUCCAAUUUCAUCGCAUCCUAUCCGUACUCGUCGAACGAGCAAAGCCAAGAAGCUCACCGACGUUCGACGAAGAACCUCCAGGAUAUCUUCUUGGCACCCGACUCACAGUAUGAGGUAAUCACGGAAUCCAGUAAGUACAAUGAAACCACUCCGCUAACUCUGUCCUACAUGACCCAGCAGGACAUGUCCGCCCAGUUCUCCUAUCUUCCGAGCAAGAUGCCACCUCCUUCGUCCCGUGAGCAUCUCAGCUACCAACAUCAACAUCCUGCGGUCGCAUCGCAACAAGCCCAUCAACCACAGCAGCAGCUGAAUCCGAAAUCCCCCAAAAACCUGAACAUCACUCCAAUCAAACGGCAAAGUUUGGGGACCAACAUUAGCUCUAUCAUACAGAAUCUUAGCGGUAGUGACGCCGGGCUACUUUACCCGGAAGGGCGACAUAGCCAUAGCCAAAGUUCAUCCGGUGGGGCAACGGCCGGCGGUAGCAGUAGCAGUACAGGCAGCGGUGCACCAACUGGACUGAUUCGGGAUUUGGAUUCGACCCAGCAGCCCAACCGGGCGGCGGAUGAUAGCAGCAACGACGAGAACAAUCUCUCCGAUCCUAGCGAUCGACAUCGAUUGUGAGAUGAAGUGUACGUGUGAGUAGAUCCUACCUGCUGAAACAGCACGCACGGUCCGAAGGGGGCUUGAUGGUGCGAUGUGUGGGUAAAGGGUGUACGCUUCAAAAUCUGACCGCAUUGAUCUAUUGGAGGAUAUGUUUCAAGAAAUACAACACGCAGACGACUGAGUAAAAAUCUUUCUAAAAAAAAACUACUGUACCAAGUCCCUCCCUCAGCAGUAAGAAUCCUUACUCCAUCAGAAAAUGAUUCGCAGAGACACAGUUUUUUUUUUUUCUGUCAACAAAGUGAAAUCUAGCAAGCAGUGUAGGUAUUGUAUGUAUCCAACAACAAAUGAUAAUAAUCGUAUUUUAGUGGUCUAACGGUAGCGCAAAUACAUUGAAUAGAGUCCAACAUGCUUUAGGCUAGCCAUUGUUGUAGCAAAUUUGGUUCCAAACGAGCUUCAAUUGAAAGUAUUAUUCCAAAUCCUUCCAAUUUGACACGUAGUUUAUACAUAUAUACUUGUUGAUUAAUUAAAUUCUUGAAAGUAUUCCAAUUGAUAGCCAGAAUUAGUUUAAUAAUUCUUUCCGAGUAGUGUUCUAGACCCAGUAAAUGAUUCUGAAGCUAACCAUUAUUGUAUUACGAUUUGCGGCAUGUUUCCCCGCAACGGAGAAAUAAAUAAAUUUGGUUGCAAAUCCAUUGGAUACGUUAUAAUUGACUGUAGCUGCUAUAUUGUAGAGAGAUGAUGUAACUUUAACAAAAAUAUUACAAGAGGCCGAUCUCUUUGGUUUAAUUUUCAGCUUUAAUUUUUUUUAAUAAUAGGAGAAAACUAGCUAAACCGCCCCUGAGGAUUUCAAAGAGAUGAUCGAAUGAUUUAAACGGUGCUCAUGAGAUUAAACCGAACGAAAAGCGAAAACUGGAAGACAUAUAUCAACCACUUUGGGUACGCGCAAUUUUGUAUUGAUUGAAUGUGGCAUGUACGUUAUCAAACAUUGAUCGGAAAGUAUCUGUUAUGUGUGGCAUCUUCAGUGGCUGAAUGAAUGUUUACGUUAAAUGAACACUAUUAAGGUGACGACAAAAAAUCAUCUCAAUUAAAGCAAAACAAAAAAGACAUUUCAUUUGUUCUUCUGCAAUUGGAUUUCUAAAUGAACGAUAUUUUAACAACUAAAUGAUACUCUGUUCAAUCGAGGCAAGAUAACAAUGCAUACAAGCAAGUAAAACAAUAUUAAGCUGUACAUAUGUUAUUUACGAUUAUUCAUUAAGUCUGACAUUAAGUAAAUGAAAUUAUAUACGCUCAUGAUAUUCUUAUACAACAGAAAAAAAACAGAAUGUAUUAAUUUGUUAACA